rnacentral:snRNA from 1 species
GUGCUCAUUUCAGCAGCACAUAUACUGAACUGGAACAAUUCAGUUAAGAUUAGCAUGGCCCCUGCACAAGGCUGACAUGCAAAUUCAUGAAGAGUUCUAUGUAUAA